rnacentral:rRNA from 1 species
GGACGAACGCUGGCUGCGUGCUUAACACAUGCAAGUCGAACGAACAAGCCUGAGCUUUGCACCGUGCUGAUGAGUGGCGGACGGGUGAGUAAUGCUUGGGAAACUGGCCUAUGGAGGCGGGAUAAGCCCGGGAAACUGGCGCUAAUACCGCGUAGAGUCGAGAGACGCAUGUCCGGGGCCGCAAGGCCUUAUCGGUUAGGAUGGGCCCAAGUGGGAUUAGUUUGUUGGUGGGGUAAAGGCCUACCAAGCCGACGACGGGUAGCUGGCCUGAGAGGAUGACCGGCCACACCGGGACUGAGACACGGCCCAGACUCCUACGGGAGGCAGCAGUGGGGAAUAUUGCACAAUGGGGGAAACCCUGAUGCAGCCAUGCCGCGUGCGGGAAGAAGGCCUUCGGGUUGUAAACCGCUUUCGGUAUUGAGGAAGGUUGUUGUAACACGACAAAUUGACGGUAACUACAGAAGAAGCACCGGCUAACUACGU